AUUGAACGCUGGCGGCAGGCCUAACACAUGCAAGUCGAGCGGAGCGGCGGACGGGCGAGUAAUGCCUAGGAAUAUGCCUGGUCGAUGGGGAUAACGUCCGGAAACGGGCGCUAAUACCGCCUACUCUCAGCUGAACCUAGGUCGGAUUAGCUAGUUGGUGGGGUAAGUGCCUACCAAGGCGACGAUCCGUAACUGGUCUGAGAGGAUGAUCAGUCACACUGGAACUGAGACACGGUCCAGACUCCUACGGGAGGCAGCAGUGGGGAAUAUUGGACAAUGGGCGAAAGCCUGAUACAGCCAUGCCGCGUGUGUGAAGAAGGUCUUCGGGUUGUAAAGCACUUUAAGUUGGGAGGCGUUACCAACAGAAGAAGCACCGGCUAACUUCGUGCCAGCAGCCGCGGUAAUAC
rnacentral:rRNA from 1 species